GAUGAACGCUGGCGGCGUGCCUAAUACAUGCAAGUCGAGCGAACAGACGAGGAGCUUGCUCCUCUGACGUUAGCGGCGGACGGGUGAGUAACACGUGGAUAACCUACCUAUAAGACUGGGAUAACUUCGGGAAACCGGAGCUAAUACCGGAUAAUAUAUUGAACCGCAUGGUUCAAUAGUGAAAGACGGUUUUGCUGUCACUUAUAGAUGGAUCCGCGCCGCAUUAGCUAGUUGGUAAGGUAACGGCUUACCAAGGCGACGAUGCGUAGCCGACCUGAGAGGGUGAUCGCCCACACUGGAACUGAGACACGGUCCAGACUCCUACGGGAGGCAGCAGUAGGGAAUCUUCCGCAAUGGGCGAAAGCCUGACGGAGCAACGCCGCGUGAGUGAUGACGGUCUUCGGAUCGUAAAACUCUGUUAUUAGGGAAGAACAAAUGUGUAAGUAACUAUGCACGUCUUGACGGUACCUACUCAGAAAGCCCCGGCUAACUACGUG
rnacentral:rRNA from 1 species